GGUAACCGUAAAUGCUUGCAGGGUUUAGUGUUGGUUCGGUGACAAUUCGCACAGUUUCGGUUGCAGCGUCAUACAACCCACCGAAAUACAUUGCUUUUGCAACGAGAAGAAGUGCUCCUAGUCCUAAUAAGAGCAAGUGAUGGCCUAGGAUCAUGCCCAAUUGUUUUGGCUCUUCCCA
rnacentral:antisense_RNA from 1 species